GUGGAUUGAUGAGCUCCUGAGCCAAAGACAUCCCAGGUCUGAGCAAGGCAAGAGCUCCAUCCCUGUUGCGUCAGGCCGAAUGGAAGCCAACACUUGCCAUGAAGUAAGAAAAUUUGUUUCAUGCCAUGGAAUGUUGAUACUAAAUGGAAGGAGGGGAAGAAAAGAGCACACAUCUGCAUGUUGGAAAAGGAGCGGUUAGCUACCUUCUUGCAUGUGCUGGCUCUCUUUGAACACCUCCAUCGCCACCUAAGAGACAAUGUGGAGAGGUGCUUUGUCCACUGCAAUCUGUUCCUGCAUGGGAUGACACUUGGAUGACUGGAGCAUGCUGGAGCCAGGUGAAUGAUGCACAGGGCUUCCCAGGCUUGGAGCUGUUGCCAGCUGUUGGGCUGCUGCUCUUGGAUUCACAGAAUCAUAAUCACAGAAACACAGAAUGGCCAGGGUUGGAAGGGACCUCAAGGAUCAUGAAUCUCCAACCCCCUGCCACAUGCGGGGCCACCAAUCUCCCCAUCUCAUACCAGACCAGGCUGCCCAGGAUUCCUGUACCUGCACCUGCCUGGUUGCUCCUGAGCAGAGAUGUGCCUUGCUCAGGGAGCAGGUGAUGUCAGCUCAAGGCAAAGUACAACAGGGUGGAAACAACAAAAAAUGAGCUGAGAGAAUGUUGUACUCGCACAGGCAGAUCUCUUAACACUCCAGAAUUAGUGACAGGCUGAGACCUAUGCUGUGCAGGAAGGAUGCAGGAAGAGGCCAUCUGUGGAAGCAGUGGGACACUUGUCAUCCCAGCGAGGCAGCAAGACAGAAUCUUCUUCCAGCAAAAGCCAGCAAACAGACGGAGCUUGCUUCCAUCUGCCAACCUCAGUCUGAAUCAAGCAGAAAGAGACAGAAAUCCCAUAGGACAUCUCAUCUUCCUAGAAGCCAACAUAGAGAAAGCAAGCCUCAGUCCUGAGCAGAAGAUAAGGAGCAGAAUGACCUUGCAUCUUCCAUCCAUACACCUGAGGUUAACAGUCAAGGAACCUGAGGCCAGGUAUUGCUGGCGUGGUCACAGGAGGAAUGAAUGAAGAUGCUCCAUGGUGGUUGCACUUCAGAUUGGUGACUGCAGAAUGGAGCAGAUGUCUUCAGCAGUGAAAUUCUCCCUGUGCUGACAGCAGCUCAGUGCUGGGACGUGGAGAGAGCUGGGAAUCUUCUGUUUCAUGUCAGAGUAAAGGUGUGCUAUGAAAACAGAGUGUGAUGUGGUUCUGUUCCCCAGAUGUGAUUCUGUUCCCCAGAAUGUGAUCCUGGUGGCUGUAACUCAGACCAUGGGGACAUCCUGAGACAGUUGUGUGGUCGUUGCAUUUCAUAAACCUCGAUCACAUUUAUUCCAUUAAUUCACCAAUAGUUCUUUGAACCUGGGUGUAUCUACACCCACAGUUUCUUGCUUCUACUUCCCAACCAGGGCAAAAUCAGCCCUUCAGAAUUAGAGGUCUUCCAGCCCCCCUCAUGUAUGUGUUCGUAGGGACGAGCUGGGAAGGACACAUAAUUGAAUGGAGAGGCAAAUGAGCCUGCAGGUGGAUGUGCAGGUAAUGGGUAGAGAACCUCUGCAUCAUGGAGGUGGUUGUUAAAAUGCCCCCAGGGGCUGGGUUUAAAAAGAGACCCUCGGAAGGGUGAGGAAGGGCAAAAUCCAUCAAGGGAAGCUGAUAGGACACAGAAUAGUCAGAUUCUCUGCGGUAACAGGGGGAACAAGGUUUGAUAACAAUCAGAGCAUUUGCAAUAUCUCAGAGGAUUAGAAACAUCAGUCAAAGCCAAGGCAGGGAGGCAUCUGUAAAAAUCAAGUUAGAAGGAAGUAAAAUAAAAUAGAAAGGAAUAAAAGUAGACA
ensembl:lncRNA